AUGAAGCCCAAUUUAUCAAUUUUAUCUCAUGUGAUUAAUGCUUUUUGUGUCCUCUCUUUAUCUGUCUCAACAUUGCAAAGAUUUCCUUCUAAAUGUUUGAUAGUUUUAACUUUUACAUUUAUGUUGAUCAGUUUUCUCUUAAUUUUUUUCUUAAAGAUUUUAUUUAUUCAUGAGAGACACAGACAGAGAGGCAGAGACACAGGCCGAGGGAGAAGCAGGCUCUCUGUGGGGAGCCUGAUGUGGGACUCCAUCCCAGGACUCCAGGAUCACGCCCUGGGCCAAAGGCAGACAACCACUGAGCCACCCAGGGGACCCAUGUUAAUUUUUGUGUAUGGUGUAAGAAAAGGGUUGAAAUCAAUGGUGAUGACCUCAACCAUCUUCUCAGCCCUGGGGAUCCUUAACCAACUGAACCACCCAGGAGCCCCAGAAACCAGUACUUGUUAUUAUUGUUUUACACAGGAGAAGGGGAGGCACGUGAAGGCAGUGGCUUGUCUAAGGUCCAAGGCCACAUCACCAGGUGGUGGGCCAGGACUGACCUGGGUGGUCUUGACCACUGCGCCAUGUUGCUCCCCCUGCCCUGUUUGGCUACCUCACCCCAUUCCGUGGAGGAGGUCCAUAGGCCACCUGAAGGGUCCCAGGAGACACUAUGGAUUUGUGAUGUACCUGGGGCUUGAGCUGGGGCGCAGGGUGGGGCCAGACUGGUGGCAGGACCUGGAGGCCAAGGAGGCCAAGGGGCCACAUCUCAGUCUCCGCGAGGGCAGGCGGGGAGGAGCCCACUAUGUGGCCCUUCACCGCAAAGCCUGCAGGAGGUCAGAGUCUUACAUCAAGGGUUCUCUGGCUCCAUUCCAUAGGCAGCAGGGAAUCAAAGAUAAAGGAGAACCAGAUACCCAAAGUAAGACAAGGAUGCUGAGGUGGAGCCCAGGUCCCAUAACCAAGGCUCUGGCCAUGGAGCAAAAUCCCAGGGGUAGAUGCCAACGUUCUGCAGACACACACACACACACACACACACACACACACACACCCCACAGCUUUCUUUGGAGGCAGACCAUGAAGAUGCAUCCACAGAGGCCCAGGUGA
rnacentral:lncRNA from 1 species